UUCUCUACUGUUUGUUGUUGCGUGUUUGUUUUUCUUUGCAGGAGGUGGCAGAGGCUAACGGUGGUGGCAGUGGUAGGCUGGUCAGAAGACGUGGAGGCGCGGUACACAGAGGCUAGGGAGGGUGCAUCGCCACUUGGGGUAGAGAGCUAGGGUUUCUGUUAGGUGUUUAGGUUUUGGGCUGAUUGGGCUGUUAGGGUUUUUUUUUUUUGGGCUUGUAUUUGGGUCUGCUAUUUUUUUGUAAAUGGACUGGAUAUUUGGGAUUUUUUUGGUUUUAUUUAUUAUUUGUAUUUGGUGUUGGGCGCGGGCGAAAUUGGGCCAUUACAGCAGCCCCUUUUUGCUCGUUGUCGUGUAACGAGAAUGGAGCAAAAACUUUUAAGAAGGACCAAUUUUUCCCUGUCUCACCAAAUCUUGACUUCUUAAUGUUCAUCUUCUUCUAGUAGCCUUAUUCUAACCCACCACCACUUCAGGGAGAU
rnacentral:lncRNA from 1 species